AGGAUUAACGCUGGCGGCGUGCAUGAAACAUGCAAGUCGAGCGCGGUGUGAUGCGGGGUAACCCAAUUCACAUCUAGCGGCGAACGGGUGAGUAACACGUGAGCAACCUACCUUUGAGUUGGGGAUAGCCCUGGGAAACCAGGAUUAAUACCCGAUGUGGUCACAACAGGACAUCCUGAUGUGAGUAAAGGCGUAAGCCGCUCAAUGACGGGCUCGCGGCCUAUUAGCUUGUUGGUGGGGUAACGGCCUACCAAGGCGAUGAUGGGUAGCUGGUCUGAGAGGACGAUCAGCCACACUGGGACUGAGACACGGCCCAGACUCCUACGGGAGGCAGCAGUUAGGAAUUUUCCGCAAUGGGCGAAAGCCUGACGGAGCAACGCCGCGUGAGUGAUGAAGACCUUCGGGUUGUAAAGCUCUGUCGGAGGGAGAACACAAUGACGGUACCUCCAACGAAACGCCCGGCUAACUACGCGCCAGCAGCCGCGGUAAC
rnacentral:rRNA from 1 species